GCAGCUCUGUCUUGUUCUUCAUCAAUGGCUGAGCUGCGGUCCUGUCUUUUCUUAUUUUUCCUGUCUGAAUUACUUCUUUAUCUGUUGUGGACGGAAGGGUCAGUUUUUCUGUUGCUGCUACAGCUGGUGAGAAGUGUGAAAGCAAAGAAGAUGUUUCCAGCUGAUGACGAGAUCUUUUGAAGACCGCAGGUCUCUUUCCUUUUGGCUGUAACUUGGAGAAUAACAAGAAGUCAUUGUUGUGUGAAAUUGAAACUUUCUACGUAUGUUGGUACUCAACGUAUGUACUCAACUUAUGGAAAUUGGUACUCAAGGCAGAGAGGAGAUACAGCGAGCAAGAAGCUAUUGAUGGAAUUAAUCACUUCUCCAUAUACCAGAGCACUGAUAUCCCGUAUUUGUUACAUCAAAGGAUAUUGACUGAGAAGACAAAUAGUUAAAUGACCCGUAACACAGAACAAGGUGAGGCUCUUUCCUCAGAUUAAAAAGACUUCUUGAGAAGGUUUCUGGAAGUCAUGAGCAUCCUUUGCCAUGGAAUAGUGAAUACAGAAGCCCUCAACUCACAGAGUUUUUGGUUACCUGGUUGCCAUACCUUUAAGAAUGGAUACCAAGCACAGUCAUCUACUGGUCCUGAGAUACAACGAUCACUAAAAAGAAAGACAGUGAAGUCAUAAAUGCUACAUAAACACACAAAAAAAUGUCAUUCAAUUGUCUAAGUAUUGAACAGCUGACUCUGAAACUACGCUAUCAACUGCUGUAAAUGAGCCUAGAUCAAUAACUUCAAAACGCUGAGGAUCUGCCUGAGCAGCUUCUUCUGUGAGCUACAACCUGCUGUGUUGUGUGCUGUUGUGGGUAGGAUGUGCUAAUUAAGUUAAUUUACCUCAAUCUGCUUGGGUAUCUGUAUAGCAUAGAGAGACCCCUUGUCACAGGCUGAAGAGUGAACUUAAACAGAAAAACCUGAAAUUGGAUACAAAGUAAAAGCAGAUGGAAUUCUAUUCACUGUGUGUUAGCCCUCAAUGCAGGCUGCUACUACAGGAUCGUUUGACAAAGGAUGAACUCAAUUUAAUCUAAGUUAGCUAUACCCCGUACCAACGAAAACUGGAUCUACAUAAGAUCUGCUAACAACAGAAAGAUUAAGGGAAUCUGUGCCAUGCCGCUCAAGAUUCUUUAGAACCAUGUUGUAAAUUACCUGAAUAUUUGUCCAUAAUGAACAAGCUACUGCUCAAGAAUGCAGAUGCUGAGCAAGAUUUCCCUGCAAGAAAUUUUUGCUUCUGAUUAUCAUGGGACACUGUGUUCAUUGAUAUAGGAACUGAGAGGUUCUCCUCUCUCCCCCUUCAAGAUUUGCUGAAGAAAAUGCCCUAUCAUUGUACUGCCAAAAGGAAUGAAAGCCAGAAGCAGAGAAGAGACAAAAACAGAAACACAUUGGUUCAGUCUGCAUCUAUGACUGCUCGAUUGGACAAGAGGCAACAAAAACCAGAAGAGAAAGCAACAGAGAAGAUGAAGUCUAAAAUGAAAUCUGAAAUCAAGCUCAUGACCAUCCUGAUGUAUCUCUCACCACUGUCUUUUUUAGUAGUCCCGUCCAUAUUCCUCUUCAUCCUCUUUCUUUCUUUUCCUUGAUUUCUCCCUUAAGUAUCUACUAUCCUUCUGCAUGCUUUGUAUAUCUAUAUAUUUCUCAUGCUUUCUGUACCCAUCCAGGUUCUUGCUCUUUCAUGCUCAGUCUCAUAGGGUGUUUUCCUUCUCACUCCUCUCACUUCUUGUUCCUUUUUUACUCCACUCUUUCUGUGCCUUUUCUCUGUAGUCAUUUUUCAAUUGCUUAUUCCCUUUCUUCUCACUUUCAUCGUUUACUUUUCUCUGAACUGUCUUUUUGCUCUCUUCCUCACUCUACUUUUUGUUUCUCCAGUAGUUUUGAAGUGGGUCCUUAUUGCCUGUGUUACUUUUUCGAGCUUCAGUCUCUUGUUUUUAGUUUCCAUUUACCUCCUUUAUAUCUUUACCAACUCUAGCUAUAUUUUUAUUUGCCAGGCUGUGCCAUUCUCUUUACUAUUAACUACACUACUUGUUCUUCUCCCCUUUCCUAUCUUGCCAUUCUUCAGCAGAAAAUGUCAUUGAAAUAUGGGGUAGUUUUUAUCAGCAGCACACUGAUGCUGCAGACCUGAUCCAUGCUGUUUAAAUAGUCAUUUCC